AGUGAACGCUGGCGGUAGGCCUGACACAUGCAAGUCGAACGGCAGCACAGUAAGAGCUUGCUCUUACGGGUGGCGAGUGGCGGACGGGUGAGGAAUACAUCGGAAUCUACUUUUUCGUGGGGGAUAACGUAGGGAAACUUACGCUAAUACCGCAUACGACCUACGGGUGAAAGCAGGGGAUCAUCGGACCUUGCGCGAUUGAAUGAGCCGAUGUCGGAUUAGCUAGUUGGCGGGGUAAAGGCCCACCAAGGCGACGAUCCGUAGCUGGUCUGAGAGGAUGAUCAGCCACACUGGAACUGAGACACGGUCCAGACUCCUACGGGAGGCAGCAGUGGGGAAUAUUGGACAAUGGGCGCAAGCCUGAUCCAGCCAUACCGCGUGGGUGAAGAAGGCCUUCGGGUUGUAAAGCCCUUUUGUUGGGAAAGAAAAGCAGCAGGUUAAUACCCCGCUGUUCUGACGGUACCCAAAGAAUAAGCACCGGCUAACUUCGUG
rnacentral:rRNA from 1 species